rnacentral:rRNA from 1 species
UACGGGGGGGUAAGCGUUGUUCGGAAUUACUGGGCGUAAAGGGCUCGUAGGCGGCCAACUAAGUCAUACGUGAAAUCCCUCAGCUUAACUGGGGAACUGCGUGUGAUACUGGAUGGCUUGGAUUUGGGAGAGGGAUGCGGAAUUCCAGGUGUAGCGGUGAAAUGCGUAGAUAUCUGGAGGAACACCGGUGGCGAAGGCGGCAUCCUGGACCAACACUGACACUGAUGAGCGAAAGCCAGGGGAGCAAACGGG